rnacentral:rRNA from 1 species
AGGGUUUGAUCAUGGCUCAGAGUGAACGCUGGCGGUAGGCCUAACACAUGCAAGUCGAACGGCAGCACAGAGGAGCUUGCUCCUUGGGUGGCGAGUGGCGGACGGGUGAGGAAUACAUCGGAAUCUACUCUGUCGUGGGGGAUAACGUACGGAAACUUACGCUAAUACCGCAUACGACCUACGGGUGAAAGCAGGGGAUCUUCGGACCUUGCGCGAUUGAAUGAGCCGAUGUCGGAUUAGCUAGUUGGCGGGGUAAAGGCCCACCAAGGCGACGAUCCGUACCUGGUCUGAGAGGAUGAUCAGCCACACUGGAACUGAGACACGGUCCAGACUCCUACGGGAGGCAGCAGUGGGGAAUAUUGGACAAUGGGCGCAAGCCUGAUCCACCCAUACCGCGUGGGUGAAGAAGGCCUUCGGGUUGUAAAGCCCUUUUGUUGGGAAAGAAAUCCAGCCGGCUCAUACCUGGUUGGGAUGACGGUACACAAAGAAUAAGCACCGGCUAACUUCGUGCCAGCAGCCGCGGUAAUACGAAGGGUGCAAGCGUUACUCGCAAUUACUGGGCGUAAAGCGUGCGUAUGUGGUUAUUUAAGUCCGUUGUGAAAGCCCUGGGCUCAACCUGGGAACUGCAGUGGAUACUGUAUGACUAGAAUGUGGUAGAGGGUAGCGGAAUUCCUGGUGUAACAGUGAAAUGCGUAGAGAUCAAGACGAACAUCCAUGGCGAACGCAGCUACCUGGACCAACAUUGACACUGAGGCACGAAAGCGUGGGGAGCAAACAGGAUUACAUACCCUGCUAGUCCACGCCCUAAACGAUGCGAACUGGAUGUUGGGUGCAAUUUGGCACGCAGUAUCGAAGCUAACGCGUUAACGUUCGCCGCCUGGGGAGUACGGUCGCAAGACUGAAACUC